AAAUCUGAAGAAGUUUAUAAUUUUUUUCCCUAGAAUAUUCCUUGCCAAAGUUGACCAUGGGUUGGGCUGUGUUCUUCCUUGCACUCCUCACUUACUGCACAGGCAUCAAUGGUCAGUUAACUUGGACUCAGCCUCCCUCCAGCUCCGUGUCUCCAGGUGGAACCAUUACUCUCCCUUGUACAACAUCUGAAGGUUCUUACAGCAUUGGCUGGUAUCAACAGAAAUCAGGACAAGGUCCUCGUUUUGUCCACUGUGAUGGCUGCAGUAGCAGGGGAGAAGGGAUCCCAAAUCGGUUCACAGCCACCAGAUCUGGGAAUUCAGGAUCUUUGACCAUCACCAAUGCACAGGCUGAAGACGAGGCAAAUUAUUACUGUGGUAGAUGGAACAGUGCAGUUACCGUGUUGCACGGUGGUGAAUUCUUAUGGGGAAGUGUGACCAAAACCUUUAUUCUUCCUCUUGAGACUGAAACCACGUGCAACAUAUCUUGA